CUCAUUUCACCGCCGUCCCGCCGACCGCAACAAAGCUAAUUCAUUUAGCACGAGCCCCCCGGACCGACGACAGCUGGCUCGUCCGUCGGUCCGUCCUUCCCCUCUCCGAGCUUCGCUUUGCUCGUGCUGCCCAGUUCCUGCAGGGACAUGCGGGGGUCCUUCCCCAGCAGACUGACGCCAUCCUUAAGCCAGCUGACGGAGGGGAUGGGGUCGCCCGACGCCUGGCACUUGAGCAGGGCCACGCCGUCCACGGCAAGCGUCUGGUUGGAGGGGCCUCGGCGGAUGACGGGCGGCGGUCUAUCCGACAGGACUACGACGCGAGAAUGAGACUUAAACACUCCCUUCGGUGCUAACAAAGACCACCAGGCUGACACCAAGGCUGUGGAAGGAUUACUAAAUGGCCUGGACGAGAAUGCGGCCGUGCGUUUUGGGAAUGCGAGGCCGCAUUCCGAGCCUGACGGAUGUGCUUACGGAAUGCGAGACCGACAGCGGGAGGCUGGACCGAGGGGCCUUGGGUUUCCGGAUCAGGAAUUUCUCAUUACGGAGCUCCUUGAACCUGGCGGACACGUCGUCAGUAAAUCACCCAGCGGCGGCCGCGACUACAGCAGGUGUGGCCCUGACCUCCCUCCCUCCCUCCCUCCGCCCUGCCCUUCCUCUUGCACCGAGCCACCCGUCGAUGUCGCCGCGACUUCCUGGCCAGACGGGAGGACGGUCAUCUAUCAUGCCAUCGCAGACUCUCUCAAGCAAGCAAGCAAUCGUUCAACUUGAAACCAAGGACGAUGCUCGAGUUCCUCUUCAAAGUGACUAAAUGACGGACGUUGUACUCCGACUCGCUUCGAUGAACUGUCGAAGGCUGUCAGAAGAACUGACCUACAUUUACACCCUCAAUUCAAAUAUCCCUCCAUGAAAUUGUAUUGUUUUUUUCCAAACAGUUUUUCUCUUAGCUUCACUGCUUCCGACAGUGUAUGGGGAUGUGUUUUUUUUUUUUUGUCCAAUCAGAUUUCAGCCAGUCAAUGUAAUCUGCCCAGGGCCUUCAGAAUUAGUAGCGCUAGUAGUGAUGUCAUUUCAACUAUAUUAGAAAUGGGACCGUUUCUUUAACCAAUCAGAUUUCAAAUGCAUCCCUACCUCGCUAUAAACAAAGCCCUUGCUGUUUUUUUUCCCCCUAAAACGAAUUCUAGUUAGUGGAGAUCCACCCGAUGGCGCUUUCUUCCAACAUGUAUUUUAGAGCUGAUACAGAGCAGUGUAUCAACUGCAAAUGGAGGACUCAAAUAACUCUCCUUAAAGUGUUGUUUUGGUGUGAUUUACCUUAUGAACGUCUGUCUGAAUUCCUGUUCUGCCAACCUGUCGAGUUGGCAAGCUGCACCGGGGAGUUGUUUCUUUACAAAGUCAGCCUAGCAACAAAUUGCCACGCUGCCAAGAUUAUGAGCAAUUCUGAGAUCCAUUUUAGAUAUUUUAGUUACAUCCGCCUCUCUACAUGUUACCUUACAGUUUAUUUCAGUUGUAAAGUUUUAAAAUUGAGUCCCCGGUGGGCUUUAUUAACAUUACCACCGGAUGAGGAAUUGCCAUUAA